GAAAAUUUAGAGUGCAAUAAUGAAAAUACUGAUUUUAAAACUUGUAAUGCAUAAAAACAAAUAAGUAGGUUCAUAUAUUGUCAUAAGUAUCAUCAUCUUUUUGAGAUUAUUUUCUUCAUCUCUUUCACUUCUCUUUCUAUGUUUUGGCAGAUUUCCUAAACUUGUUUUAUGUUUAUGUCCUCUAUUUUUUUCUGGUUCUUCUUCAUCUUCC
rnacentral:lncRNA from 1 species